UGACUCAUCACUUUAUCCCCAGUGGACAGCUUGGCACAUAGAUGGAUUCAAUGAAUGAACAAGCAGGUGGUCAAUUUGAUGAUGUGAGAGAAGCAUGAACUUUGGGGUCAGACCUGGGUCUGGGGACAUAAGAGGGAACCCAAGGAGACCCCCGAAGGCCCUCAGGAACAACGAACGACAGCAGUGAAGGCACCUGCAGAGCCCCUUGCGUUGCUG